CACGUAGGGCGCAAGCGUUGUCCGGAAUUACUGGGCGUAAAGGGCGCGUAGGCUGUGCUGUAAGUCAGGCGUGAAAGCCCCGGGCUCAACCUGGGAAUUGCGCUUGAUACUGCGGCGCUGGAAGGUGGGAGAGGAUGGCGGAAUUCCCAGUGUAGAGGUGAAAUUCGUAGAUAUUGGGAAGAACACCGGUGGCGAAGGCGGCCAUCUGGCCCACAUUUGACGCUGAGGCGCGAGAGCGUGGGGAGCAAACAGG
rnacentral:rRNA from 1 species